rnacentral:rRNA from 1 species
CAGCAGCCGCGGGAAAACAGAGGGUGCAAGCGUUAAUCGGAAUUACUGGGCGUAAAGCGCGCGUAGGUGGUUUGUUAAGUUGGAUGUGAAAUCCCCGGGCUCAACCUGGGAACUGCAUCCAAAACUGGCAAGCUAGAGUAUGGUAGAGGGUGGUGGAAUUUCCUGUGUAGCGGUGAAAUGCGUAGAUAUAGGAAGGAACACCAGUGGCGAAGGCGACCACCUGGACUGAUACUGACACUGAGGUGCGAAAGCGUGGGGAGCAAACAGGAUUAGAUACCCCCGUAGUCCCUGUCUCUUAUAC